rnacentral:ribozyme from 13 species
AGAAAGAAAGAAAGAGAAAGAAAGAGAAAGAGAGGAGAUGAUAAAAGUGAAAGAGAGAGUCCCUCUUUAUUCUUCAUCUUCUUCCUCGACAAUUUUGUUGUUCGUUCUCUUUGAGUUGAUGAUUGACUCUUUCUUUUGAAAAGAAAUGGCUGAGCUUC